GGCCUUUUGAAUUUAAUAUAAGGUCUGACCUGCCCAGUGAUAAUUUUAACGGCCGCGGUAUACUGACCGUGCAAAGGUAGCAUAAUCAUUAGUCUUUUAAUAGAGGGCUGGAAUGAAAGGUUUAACGAGGAACUGACUGUCUCAUUUUAUUUGUUUUAAAAUUUAAUUUUUUAGUUAAAAAGCUAAAAUUCUAUUGGUAGACGAGAAGACCCUAUAGAGCUUUACAUUAAUUUAUUUUGAUAUUUUUAUAUUAAUAUUUCUAAUUAAAUUUAUGUUUUGUUGGGGUGACAAAAAUAUAUAAUUAACUAUUUUAUUUAAUUAACAUUGAUUUAUGAAUAUUGGAUCCAUUAUUAUUGAUUAUUAGAUUAAGUUACCUUAGGGAUAACAGCGUAAUCUUCCUCCAGAGUUCAUAUCUACAGGAUGGGGUUGCGACCUCGAUGUUGGAUUAAGAUAAUAGUUAGGUGUAGCCGCUUAAUUAAUAGGUCUGUUCGACCUUUAAAAUCUU
rnacentral:rRNA from 1 species